rnacentral:sRNA from 1 species
UCAUGUGCUCCUGUAGGGAGGUGCUAA